UCGAGCGCCAGCGAGAGAGCGUUGCCGCAGGCAACGACCCGAAGGGCGAAGCGCGCAGCGUUGAGUAAUCCUUCCCCCACCACCA
rnacentral:sRNA from 1 species